rnacentral:rRNA from 1 species
AAACCAACAGGGAUUGCCUUAGUAGCGGCGAGUGAAGCGGCAAAAGCUCAAAUUUGAAAUCUGGUACUUUCAGUAUCCGAGUUGUAAUUUGUAGAAGCAACUUUGGUGAUGGUCUUUGCAUAAGUUCCUUGGAAUAGGACGUCAUAGAGGGUGAGAAUCCCGUAUAUGGUGAAGAACCCACACUAUGUAAAGUGCUUUCGAAGAGUCGAGUUGUUUGGGAAUGCAGCUCAAAGUGGGUGGUAAAUUCCAUCUAAAGCUAAAUAUUGGCGAGAGACCGAUAGCGAACAAGUACUGUGAAGGAAAGAUGAAAAGAACUUUGAAAAGAGAGUGAAAAAGUACGUGAAAUUGUUGAAAGGGAAGGGAUCUAAAUCAGACAUGGUAUUUUGUGAUCAACAGUCUUUCGGGAUUGUGCACUCGCAUUUUACUAGGCCAGCAUCGGUUAGAAGGGGGUAAAAAAGAUCCUGGAAUGUGGCUCCUCGGAGUGUUAUAGCCAAAGUUAAUUGCCCCAUUUCUGACCGAGGACCGCGUCUUUUGACUAGGAUGCUGGCGUAAUGGUUUUGAUCCAC